rnacentral:rRNA from 1 species
UACGGAGGGUGCAAGCGUUAAUCGGAAUUACUGGGCGUAAAGCGCACGCAGGCGGUCUGUCAAGUCGGAUGUGAAAUCCCCGGGCUCAACCUGGGAACUGCAUUCGAAACUGGCGGGCUUGAAUCCGGGAGAGGGAUGCGGAAUUCCAGGUGUAGCGGUGAAAUGCGUAGAUAUCUGGAGGAACACCGGUGGCGAAGGCGGCAUCCUGGACCGGCAUUGACGCUGGAGGCGCGAAAGCCAGGGGAGCAAACGGG